GGACCAUCCUCUGGCAUCCUGAUUCAAGAGACACCAGGGUUCAUCUUAACGGAGAAGAGGAUCCUGACCCGACGUGUGUUCGUCAGCUUGGACCCCAAGAUUUCCAUCAAGAAGGCAUACAACAUUUCAUCGAUGCAGCUUCCUGAGUUACAGACUUGGUACCAGAUGCACCUCCAAAGAGCACAGGACCGUGUGCGAAACAUCUUGGAGCAAGCCCAGAAAC